rnacentral:rRNA from 1 species
ACUCAAAGGAAUUGACGGGGACCCGCACAAGCAGCGGAGCAUGUGGUUUAAUUCGACGCUACGCGAAGAACCUUACCAAGGCUUGACAUCGUCUGACCGCCGCAGAGAUGCGGCUUUCCAGCAAUGGACAGAUAGACAGGUGGUGCAUGGUUGUCGUCAGCUCGUGUCGUGAGAUGUUCGGUUAAGUCCGGCAACGAGCGCAACCCUUAUGAUAUGUUGCCAAUAUUAAGUUAGGAACUCAUAUCAGACUGCCGUGGAUAACACGGAGGAAGGCGGGGAUGACGUCAAAUCAUCAUGCCCCUUACGUCUUGGGCUACACACGUGCUACAAUGGGCGCUACAAUGAGCAGCGGGCCGGUAACGGUGAGCGAAUCUCAAAAAAGCGUUCUCAGUUCAGAUUGUGGGCUGCAACCCGCCCGCAUGAAGGAGGAGUUGCUAGUAAUCCCGAAUCAGAAUGUCGGGGUGAAUGCGUUCCCGGGUCUUGUACACACCGCCCGU